UAUUUCAGUAGUUUAUCCAAAA
rnacentral:tRNA from 1 species